AAAAAGCACCUGUACUGGCUGAGUAGUCAUUAAGAUGUGAUGGAAGCAUAGCAAUCAUAUUUAAAUGUAAACACCCAUAGAGGAUGAUGGGGAUAAACCUUAACUGUCAUUCUGUUAGAGCUUACUUCACACGACAAGGAGGAUCUGCCAGCAUGUAUACCUGGGCUCGUCAAAUGUUUCCCAGUUCGAUACGCUCAGAGCAUUUCACCACCACCUACAGCAACGACUUUAAACCAUUCAAUGAAUGCGAGCAACACCUGAAGCCUGGAGCUGAAGCUGUAGCUGAAUUAAGCAGCUCCUUUCCGCCUGAACAUAAAAUGCCCCCUGUGUUUCAACCCCUGCACAUGAGAACCAACAUCCCCAAUGGCUCAGCUGUUGGCUUUAAGGUAAGCAAUCAGUUUUAACUGUGCUCUAUGUAAAUCCAUUUAUUUUCCCUCCAUUUAUCCACCAUUAUCUGCAUUUAACACUCAUAUGUUUCCCAGCCUCCCCCCUGUGUCGCCCCUCCUAUCUUCUCGCCUGCAUUCGAACCUGGAGCUGAGCUUUCAUUUGGUUUAAAGGAUGACAGGCCACAUCAGAUUUAUUGUGGUCGAAGGAGUGAGGAGAACUGAUUGAAGGAAAAAAAGUAAAGCAUUCGGGCAUGUUGAUGUUUAAAGUGUUUUCUUCUGCUGACAGCAGGCUUGUUAGAGCAGAAGGAUGAUGUGGAAAAGAGGAAGGCUGAUGUUCAAUACG